GUGCUCAUUUUGGCAGCAUAUAUACUAAAAUUGAUAUCAUUCAAAGAUGAGCAUGACCCCUGAUCAAUGUUGACAUACAAACUCAUGAAGCAUUCAUAUUUUUG
ensembl:snRNA U6 U6 spliceosomal RNA